UAAGAAAGUUGGAAGUGCGAAGACGUGAAGAAAAGCACGAAGCCGUGAAGUGCUACUCAGCAAAGAGUUGUCUGUUCUAUUUGACUGUAAUAUUGUAAUAGCUGGUAUACCUAGGUUGUAAUAGUCUACAGAAAUUGUAGUACACUAAUCUAGUGUCAUUUGACGAGUUUCACAUGUUCUCUUGUUUGGAAUAUUUGAUUAUGAAUGUGAUUUGAUUGUGUGUGAGAUGGCAACCUGACCAGUGCAACCCACUUAUGAAAUAAUAUGACUAGUUCGUAACUUUCUUAUGUGUGGGAUCAAUAUAUGAGAUUAACAUGACUAGUGGGACCAGCUCCAAAAUAUAUUUUCCAAAAAUAUAUAAUUAAUAGACUGUAAAAGGCCAAAGCCCAGAGAUAAAAAGGCUGAAAUAUUGGGCUUGGCCCAUGUAGCCCAAUAGAAUUCGUAGGAAUUAUAAUAAUCAAAAAAUGUCGAAUUGUUGGGCUAGGCCCAUGUAGAAAACCGAAUUGGACCGGGCUGAAUCUUGUGCCACAUCAGCUUGCCACGCUGGAUGCCUACGUGGCCUGGGGAGGUUGCUAGUGAUCAAAACGCCACUGUAGGAAUAUUUUGGUCGUAAACGUCCAUGACCUUCUCACAGAGAAGGUCGCUAUAGUUAGUUUACGACCCUCAGCUUUUGACCUUCUAUUUUUGGUCAAAAAAAGGUCGCAAAUGAAAAACAAUGACCUUUCAGUGACCAAUAGUCAAGGUCACAAGUUGACAUAUUUCUUGUAGUGAUGGGGCAGAAGUAUGAUGCUGGUACCAUAACUCAUUCCCUUAGAGUACACCCCCUUUUGGUGGCUUUUGGGAAAGCCACUUUUGUGGAUUUCCCCUAAAAUCAAUGGGGAUGACAUGGGGUGCCCCCCCAAGGUUCCCACACAUGUGUGGCUGGUUGGGAAGGGGCUCCUCCAUGGAGCUUCUUUCCAACCCCCUUUUCGUGGCUUUUGGAGGAAACUAUCUAAGUGAUUUUUGGUAUUUUUAUCAUAGCCUCUACACCCUUCCUCCCACUAUAAAUAGAGGUGGAGAGGGCUCUCCAUUUCAUCCCAACUUAUCUCUCAACAUAUGCCAUGCAAUCAUCUGGCUUUCUAUCUCUCUUUCUCCAUGAAAUAGUUUCCUCCGCUAAAAGAUUGUGUAGUCUUUGGUAUGCCUAGUUCUGGAUGGUCUGGAUAGUUGACACUAGAUGUGUGCAACCCAGUAGAGAGGUCGUAGUUUCGGUCCUAGUUCAAGAGAUAUGCCGCGGUUCUGUUCGAGGGAUUGUCUAAGGUUCUGUCUGAGGUCCUCCCAAAGGGCUGUCCGAGGGGGUGUCUAAUACGUCUUUGUUGUAUAUAUAAUUUUUGAUUGUUUCAUGCCAAUAUUGUAAAAUUUUCAUAUACUUUUGGCAACAUUUUAUAUUAUUUUGGGACUAACAUAUUGAUCCAGUGCCUAGUGCCAGUUCUUGUUUGUUGCAUGUUUUUUGUUUCGCAGAAUAUCCAUAUCAAACAAAGUGGAAACGCGAUAAACAUUUACGGAGAUUUAUUUUGGAAUAUAUGUGAAUUUUGGGAGGAAGAAUCAACACAAGUCAGUGUCCGAGGUGGCCACAAGCCACAAGGGCACGCCCAAGGGGUGGGCUCCACGUGGUGGCUUCUAACUCCGUAGUAGGUCGGUUGACGCCCUUCUUUUGCUGCAAAAAAGAGAAUAUCCGGGAAAAAACAUGUUAAAGUUUCGUCCCAACCGGAGUUACGGAUCUCCAUUAAUUUAAGAAACGGUGAAGGGCCAGAAAAUAGGAACGUGAAACAAAAGAGAAACAGAGAGAGAUGCAAUCUCGGAGGGCUCCUGUCCUCCGGGAGCCAUGGCGGCCAUGGACCAAAGGGAAAACUCUCCUCCCAUCUAGGAGGGAGACCAAUGAAGAAGAAGGAGGGAGCUCUCUCCUCCUCUCUCCCGGUGGCCCUGUAGCGCUACCGGGGCAACCUUCAUGACGCCGAUCUACACCAACAACUUCGCCGCCGUCAACACCAACUCCCUCCCCCUCUAUGCAGCGGUGUAACACCUCUUCUUCCCGAUGUAAUCUCUGCUUAAACAGGGUGCUUAAUGCUACAUAUUAUUAUCCAAUGAUGUAUUUCCAUCCUAUGUUGUUUGAGUAGAUUUGUAUUGUCUUGUUGGUUGAUUGAUGAUUGUGAUUGGUUUGAGUUGUAUGUUUUAUUUUGGUGUUGUCCUAUGGUGCCCUCUAUGUCGCGCCACCAUGUGGGAUUACUAUAGUAGGGUGUUGCAAUACAUUCAUAAUUCGCUUAUAGUGGGUGGCUAGAGUGACAAAAGCUUACACCCGAGUAAGGGGGCUGUCGCAUAUGGGAGUAAAGAGGACUUGUUACUUAAUGCUCUAGUUGGAUUUGACCUUAAUGAUCUUUUGUAGUUGCAGAUGUUUGAUACGUCUCCAACAUCUCUAAAUUUUUUGAUUGUUCCAUGAUAUUAUAUUAUCUAUUUUGGAUAUUUUAUAUGCAUUAUUAUGCUAUUUUAUAUUAUUGGGACUAACUUUUUAACCUAGAGCCAAGUGCUAAUUUCUGUUUUUUCCUUGUUUUUGACUUUCAUAGAAAAGGAAUAUCAAACAGAAUAAAACUUCACGAUGAUUUUUCUUGGACCAAAAGACACACAGAGGACUUGGAGUCCAAGCCAGAAGAGCCAUGAGGCAACGACAAGGGGGGAAGGCGCGCCCUAGGGGUGGCUUCCCCCUGCCUUGUGCCCCCUCGGGGAUCCCCUGACCUACGUCUUCGUCCUAUAUAUUGACAUAUAUUCCAAAACCCUCAGAAGGAGCCACGAAAAUACUUUUCCACCGCCAGAGUUCUCUCACCUUGUUAGAUCCCAUCUGGAGGCCUUUUUCGGUACUUUUCCGGAGGGGGUUUCGAUCACGGAGGGCAUCUACAUCUACCCUAUUGCCCGUCUGAUGAAGCGUGAGUAGUUUACCUCAGACCUACGGGUCUAUAGGUAGUAGCUAGACGGAUUCUUAUCUCUCUUUGAUUCUCAGUACCAUGUUCUCCUCGAUGUUCUUGGAGAUCUAUCUGAUGUAAUCUUCUUUUGCGGUGUGUUUGUCGAGAUCCGAUGAAUUGUGGAUUUAUGAUCAUCCUAUCUAUGAAUAAUAUUUGAAUCUUCUCUUAAUUCUUAUAUGCAUGAUUUGAUAUCUUUGUAUUUCUCUUCGAAUUAUCGGUUUGGUUUGGCAACUAGAUUGGUUUUUCUUGCAAUGGGAGAGGUGCUUAGCUUUGGGUUCAAACUUGCGUGAUUUCACCCAGUGACAAAGUAGGGGUAGCGAGACACGUAUUGAAUUGUUGCCAUCGAGGAUAAAAAGAUGGGGUUUUCAUCAUAUUGCUUGAGUUAAUUCCUCUACAUCAUGUCAUAUUACUUAAGGCAUUACUCCAUUCUUUAUGAACUUAAUACUCUAGAUGCAUGCUGGAUAGCGGUAGGUAUGUGAAGUAAUAGUAGUAGAUGCAGGUAGGAGUCGGUCUACUUGACACGAACGUGAUGCCUAUAUGCAUAAUCAUUGCCUUGGAUAUCGUCAUAACUUUGUGCUGUUAUAUCAAAUGCUCGACAGUAAUUUGUUCACCCAUCGUAUUAUUUGCCUUUAAGAGAGAAGCCUCUUGUGAAACCUAUGGCCCCCGGGUUUAUUUUCUAUCAUACUUGUUUCUGAUCUACUAUUUUGAAAUCUUUUAUUUCAGAUCUAUAAACCAAAAAAACCAAAAAUAUUUAGUUAUCUUUUAUUUAGUUUUAUCUAUCUCUAUCAGAUCUCACCUUUGCAAGUGACCUUGAAGGGAUUGACAACCCCUUUAUCACGUUGGGUGCACGUGUUUGAUUGUUUGUGUAGGUUCAUCUAUUGGGGACUUGCGCGUUUCUCCUACUAGAUUGAUACCUUGGUUCUUAACUGAGGGAAUACUUAUCUCUACUGUGUUGCAUCACCAUUUCCUCUUCAAGGAAAUAACCAACGCAAGCUCAAGAAGUAGCAAUGCUUGCUAGAGUUCCAAUCAUAAGUGCAUAUGAUCCAAGUAUGAAAAGUAUGUUAGCUCAUGCCUCUCCCUCAUAUAAAAUUGCAAUAAUGAUUACCGGUCUAGUUAUCAAUUUCCUAGGGACAAAUCAUUCUCUUGUGUUACAAAAUCUUUCUGCUAGAGAACUAACUUUUAUUAUCUUGCAAGUUACUCAUAGCUUUAUUCUCUCUAAGUACAUCUACACUACUAGGGAAAAGCCUAGCAGCAGGGCGGGUUUUGGGCCUAUUAGCGGUGCGGGGGAUGGCGCUACUAAUAAGGCGCUACAGCUAACGUAUAGCAGUAGCGCAGGUGCCACCCGCGCUACUACUACGUCCUUUAGUAGUAGCGUGGGUAAAAACCCACGCUACUACUACCAGCGCGGUUUUUUUUGAAUUUUUUCGAAAAAAUAUUUCGAUUUUUCCCCUAAUUUUCAAUUUUCUAAAUUAUUUUAACCUCAGAUCUCUAAUGACCCCUCAUCGCUGCUCAAUUUAAUCUCUAAUCACCCCUCAUCAUUCCAAAUCAUCUAACUUCCCGGACGGUCACCCAUCCUCUCACUACUCCAGCCUGAGCACGCUUAACAUCCGGGUUCUAUUCUCCCUCGUUUCCAAGUCUGCACUUGUUGUUUUCCUGACAAUAGUAAGAUGUCAAUCUUAUUAACCUCAGGAAUUUAGCUUGAGCAUGAAGUCACACAUUUCACUAUUUGAGUUUGAAACUAUUGUUCUAAAAAAUUAGUAACACUAAUAUUUCUUGAAUAAUUAGUUUGACCACAGUUUGACCAUAGUUUGACCAUAGUUUGACCAUAGUUUGACCAGAUUUGACCAAAAUUCAAAAAAACUAAAAUAAUUAUUUAGUAACAUGAAUAUUCUAGAAUAAUUAGUUUGACCAUUGUUUGACCACAGUUUGACCACACAGUUUGAAAUAUUUUCGAUUUUUUCCACUCUAGAUCUCAAAAGCCCCGUAACUUUUUUUCUGUUUGGUUUUUGAGGAUUUUGAAAAUGUUUAACGGGGUUCUCUCAUGGUGCUACACUCUCAGGACCAUCUUAUGACACACAAUCAAUUUUUGGUGUGCUCAAAAUUUUAAUUUUAGUGAUAAGGAAAUAUCCCACAUAGUUUGCUGGAUCUCUCACUUGAGUUGGUUUAAUAGUAGUGGCCUCCUGACUUGUACUUAGUUGGGUAGGUGCUGGCUGGGAGCAAAAGUUUAUAUGCAUGGAUAAUGGACUUGCACUAAAUGGACACAAAUAAAGGAGUUGAGUAUUAAGUGAACUUGUUCUAACUGGAAACAAUUUCUGUAUUGUGUACAUAAAUAUCGAGUUGAUAGCUGAUCUGUAGCAAAUAUAGCUGCGCGUAACUUCUUUACAUGGUUCCUCUUUUACAGGAGCUCCAGGCCUAAGAAAGUUGGAAGUGCGAAGACGUGAAGAAAAGCGCGAAGCCGUGAAGUGCUACUCAGCAAAGAGUUGUCUGUUCUAUUUGACUGUAAUAUUGUAAUAGCUGGUAUACCUAGGUUGUAAUAGUCUACAGAAAUUGUAGUACACUAAUCUAGUGUCAUUUGACGAGUUUCACAUGUUCUCUUGUUUGGAAUAUUUGAUUAUGAAUGUGAUUUGAUUGUGUGUGAGAU
rnacentral:lncRNA from 1 species